rnacentral:tRNA from 1 species
ACCUGGCUGGCUCAGGUGGAAGAGCAUGGGACUCUUGAUCUCGGGGCUGUGAGUUUAAGUCCCAUGUUGGGUG